UCCGGUUGAUCCUGCCAGAGGCCGCUGCUAUCCGGCUGGGACUAAGCCAUGGGAGUCAUGGGGCGCGGGCCCUUCGGGGUUCGCGCACCGGCGGACGGCUCAGUAACACGUGGCCAACCUGCCCUCGGGAGGGGGAUAACCCCGGGAAACUGGGGCUAAACCCCCAUAGGGGAUGGGUGGUGGAAUUCCCCCAUCCCCGAAAGUGUGCGGUUGCCGUAAGGCGCCGCACAGCCCGAGGAUGGGGCUGCGGCGGAUUAGGUAGUUGGCGGGGUAACGGCCCGCCAAGCCGAAGAUCCGUACGGGCCAUGAGAGUGGGAGCCCGGAGAUGGCCCCUGAGACAAGGGGCCAGGCCCUACGGGGCGCACCAGGCGCGAAACCUCCGCAAUGCGGGAAACCGCGACGGGGUCAGCCGGAGUGCCCGCGCAUCGCGCGGGCUGUCGGGGAGCCGAAAUAUCUCCCCACAGCAAGGGCCGGGCAAGGCCGGUGGCAGCCGCCGCG
rnacentral:rRNA from 1 species